UACGAAGGGGGCUAGCGUUGCUCGGAAUCACUGGGCGUAAAGGGUGCGUAGGCGGUCUUUAAGUCGAGGGUGAAAUCCUGGAGCUCAACUCCAGAACUGCCUUUGAUACUGGCGAGCUUGAGUUCGGGAGAGUGAGUGGAACUGCGAGUGUAGAGGUGAAAUUCGUAGAUAUUCGCAAGAACACCAGUGGCGAAGGCGGCUCACUGGCCGAUACUGACGCUGAGGUGCGAAAGCGUGGGGAGCAAACAG
rnacentral:rRNA from 1 species